UACGGAGGGGGCUAGCGUUGUUCGGAAUUACUGGGCGUAAAGCGCACGUAGGCGGACUGUUAAGUCGGGGGUGAAAUCCUGGGGCUCAACCUCAGAAUUGCCUCCGAUACUGGCAGUCCCGAGUGCGGGAGAGGUGAGUGGAAUUCCCAGUGUAGAGGUGAAAUUCGUAGAUAUUGGGAAGAACACCAGUGGCGAAGGCGGCUCACUGGCCCGUAACUGACGCUGAGGUGCGAAAGCGUGGGGAGCAAACAGGG
rnacentral:rRNA from 1 species